CGCAAUUACAUUUGCACCAACCUAAUAACACUGGAACAAUACAGAGAAGAAUAGCAUGGACCCUGCACAAGAAUGACAUGCAUAUUCAGAAAGCAUUUCAUAUUUUU
rfam:Pan troglodytes isolate Yerkes chimp pedigree #C0471 (Clint) chromosome 1, whole genome shotgun sequence.